GGACAAUGACAUGGUCCGUGCUUGUUUUUAAUUGCCUUUCUGGGGAUGUGAGGGUGGGUGAAGGGGUCAGGAAUAAGGGCAGAAGCAACACAGUUGGAUCAUCUCCUGUCCUGUUGCUCGGCUCACCCGCAGGAGUCCCUCACCCCUGAGUGUCUGGAAUGGCUUCCCUGCAGAGCCUACCAGGCUGCUUUCUGGGUUUAUUUCCAUUUGACUAUAGCUAGCUUGUUCUCUAGAAGUUGCUGGGAAAUGUUCAACCUAAGAAUCAGGACACUGGCAACUGAGCUCAGUCUGCACGUCACCUUCAGGAACUACGAGAGCCAGACCUCAGGACGGAGAAGGCUUUUUAUCAUUUAUA
ensembl:lincRNA Gm15324 predicted gene 15324